UACACCCCCAGACCUCUCUCUCUCACAUGGCCUCAAUACACCCCCAGACCUCUCUCUCUCACAUGGCCUCAAUACACCCCCAGACCUCUCUCUCUCACAUGGCCUCAAUACACCCCCAGACCUCUCUCCCUCACAUGGCCUCAAUACACCCCCAGACCUCUCUCUCUCACAUGGCCUCAAUAUACCCCCAGACCUCUCUCUCUCACAUGGCCUCAAUACACCCCCAGACCUCUCUCUGACACGGCACAACUGUUGUUGAAGGAACAACAUCGUCCAGUGUUUUAUCCUCAAGACAAAUCAACCUGGUGUUGUCCCAAAUGGCUUCCUCAUCACUGCUUUUGACCCCGAAGGGAUUUGAGUCAAAAGUAGUGUACAAUGUAUUUGGGAAUAGUUGACCAUUUUGGUACGGAGCCAGUAUACCAACCACCACCAACUGUAACACAGCAAUCCAUGUUUCGUAUUUUAACAGGGCGGUCCUAUUCAUGUCUACAUCCCCUGUCUAGGGCACUACGUUUUGAUUAGAGCAAUGGGGGCCCAUUUACGAUCAGUACAUCUAUCAGAUAUGUCUAGGUGGGUCUUACUGUAGGAUGUCAACAUGGUCCCUGCCAGACAUGUCUAGGUGGGCCUUACUGUAGGAUGUCAACAGGUCCCGGCCCUGCCAGACAUAACUAGUCUUAUACAAUUUUUCUCCUGUUUAUUAAAAACCCAAUAAAUCUGUGAUCAUGAA